rnacentral:lncRNA from 1 species
CUCCUUGCCUGAAGCGAGACGCCACCAAAUCGACAGGUUUAAUUCAUGCCGUGUUCCUGGUCGUGUGGGUGGAGUCAGCCUCAGCUUUGACCCUCGCAACAUAUGCCCCUACCAUAGUAAACCCACACCAGGAGGCCACCUCAUGGCUCUGGGGAGGCUCCUCCUGAUUCUGUCUCUUGUCUCAGGUGUGUCUACAGGUGAUGGAGACGAGAGCACCGGCCCUGCUGAGGUCCGCCUGGCGCAGUGGCUGGAAGAGAUGCUCGAGAACGAAACAACUCAACUGCAGCCGCUCCAGGAAGGGAGGAAGCCUGUCCGGGUCAUCCUGGACCUUCAUGUGCUCAGCAUUCUGGACGUGGACGAAAAACAGGAGCACAUCCUUAUCUACGUCCUGUAUGGACAGGUGCUGCAGGACUGGGGAAGCUGGGAAAGUGGGGUGUGA